GUGUCAGCAGCCGCGGUAAUACGUAGGGUGCGAGCGUUAAUCGGAAUUACUGGGCGUAAAGCGUGCGCAGGCGGCGCGUUAAGACAGGUGUGAAAGCCCCGAGCUUAACUUGGGAAUUGCGCUUGUGACUGGCGUGCUGGAGUGUGGCAGAGGGAGGUGGAAUUCCACGUGUAGCAGUGAAAUGCGUAGAGAUGUGGAGGAACACCGAUGGCGAAGGCAGCCUCCUGGGCCAGCACUGACGCUCAUGCACGAAAGCGUGGGGAGCAAACAGGAUUAGAUACCCUGGUAGUCCACGCCCUAAACGAUGUCAACUGGUUGUUGGUGGGGUUAAACCCAUUAGUAACGAAGCUAACGCGUGAAGUUGACCGCCUGGGGAGUACGGCCGCAAGGUUAAA
rnacentral:rRNA from 1 species